ensembl:lncRNA
CAAACAUUACCCAGAAGGGUUUCCAUGCCUAAAGUCUAAAGGGGAGACCUGUGGUAGAAGCUCUCUCAGUUGAGAAGCACAACCCUAAGUAUAUGGUUUCCUCCUUCCCUAGUAAGGCUCUUGAUGCUGUGUCCUUGAAGAGAACGUCCCUCCUGAGCAAAUCCAUGUCUGUCUUCCAGCUUGGAAAAUCAGACAGUGAUGAAAACCUCAUUGUUGACGGUCCAUUCUUAUGGCUAUUUUGGAGAGUUUGCCCUUGUCUUGAAACAUUUCUAAAGUUGUCUUUUGACAUUUUCCCUCUUAUCUCUUAUAAUAACUGUGGCCAUUGUCUCUCUUUGCUGAAAGAGCACUUUUCUCCAGAUAUAAAGUUCCCCCUGAACAUUAGAUUUCUCUUUCUGACUUCGGUUGUUAUUAGCCCUGCAACAGUAGCAAAAUUAGGCCCAGACAUGAACCAGGCCUGCAAUCUAACAAAAUGCUAAGUAGUCUCAUGUGCACAUUUAACUUUCCCACUAUGUGCUGGACCAAAGAUCUGUCUUUACAUGCAGUUCUCAUGUGCAGGCAGCUGGCAUUUUGGGAAUGAGUGUGAUACGUAUGAAAGACGGAGGUCCGCAGCAUGAGGAAGAAGAUCCGAAGGAUUCAGUCAAGGCUCGAAGCCCUGGAGCUCACUGUAGAGUCCCUCUCGAGUCUGCGUAAGGAGGCUGAAGGUUCUGCAAUGGAAGCUGAAGAAUCCUCACUGGAAGCCAGGAGAUGAUGUCCACAGCGAAGGUGAAGACUGGAGCUCCUCCAAAAAAAACAGAGCAGCUCAUCCUACUGACUUCUGCACUUGAUUGUAGCCAAGAGGCUGAGAAGCGGUCCUGCUGACUUCCAAAUGGGAAUAUUUGUGGUACAUUUCAGUUCCUUCCUCUCUCAUCUACCUCUUCCAGCUUCAGCAAAUGGUCAAUUAUGCUUCUAAAAUGUUCCUUUUGGAGCUUAUAC